rnacentral:tRNA from 1 species
CCGCCACUGGCUCAUCGGGAAAGAGCACAGCCUUCUAAGUUGACUGUGCGAGGUUCGAGUCCUCGGUGGCGGUCCA